AAGCUUUUUUCUCAUGUCAUAAUACACUUUUAUAAUUUGUAUGAACAAAAUUGUAAUAUAAAUAAGGUGGUACUAAUAGCAUGUUCAUCUGUGGCCAGGCCCAGCCAAAUCCCCCUAGCCGCCGCCGCACCACUCCCCCACCGCGGCCGACCUCAACUCGCCCGUCGCCAUGGCUGCACCUCUGCCCGCUCACGAGCCUCCACUCCGCGCUCAGCUCUACGACACCCGCGACGCAGCGCGCGCCGCCCUCCGCUGCCAAAUCGGCGGCCACUGGGCCACGCUCUGCGCCGGCUACGCCGACCGCCGCGCGCCGCCGCCAUCCGGCGGUGGAGCCUCUCUCAUGGAGGAUUACACCGGCUGCCCCGCGCUAGCCGAGAUCAUCCGCAUCCUCUCCGUGAAGCGCCAUCGUCGCGGGAGGACUUCAUUGCCUGGCUCGCCGACAACUUCAUGACGAGGCCCGCGUCCGCGUCUUCCCGUGCGACCUCCUCGAUGGCGCCGCCAUGCUCGCCGCCGCGCGCGGCUGCUACGAUAUCUUCCACCUCGCCUUGCCCUGCACCGUCGACCGCGUCCUGGACCCCCAAGUACUGCUGCUCCAUGACCGUCCUGCCGUUGUUCCUUUAGAGUUUAGACCUCUCAGUAUGAGUACGGGGUGGCCUCUGUCUCAUUUUGUGGCUGCAGAAGGAGCGGGUAGCGCCGGCCGUGGAAGGGACGCUCCACGUGCUGCGCGCCGCCAAGGAUGUCGGGGCGUGGGCGGGGUGGUGGUGACCUCGGCCAUCUCCGCCGUCGUGCCUAGCCCGGGCCGGCCGGCCGGGGAGGUCCUCGAUGAGAGCUGCUGGACCAACAUCGACUACUACUGCGACAAGAACAGGGUGAGAUGAUACAACCACCUUGCCUAGCCCGGGCCGGCCGGCCGGGGAGGUCCUCGAUGAGAGCUGCUGGACCAACAUCGACUACUACUGCGACAAGAACAGGGUUGCCCAGAGGAGUAUAAGGAUUUCCUCAUCGGGCCAGUCCACGUGGAACAGAACAAGAUGAGUAUAAGACAAACGCUGUUUGUUGAUGUCAUCAUGCCUGGCUGUUUCGACUGCUCCUCCGCCCACAAUUCGGCCAGGCUCACGUGGUGUCACGAGCGGGGAACAAAGGGACGUCUUCCGUUACAGAGAAUUUCUAGAGGACUCAGAUUUGAUACCACAACUUCAAUCUUCUGAAGUGGCCAAGGUUGGAACCAAGGAAUAAGGCACCAGGUUUUGCAGGUUGUGUUUCGCUGUUUGUUGCAGAGAGCAGCCAAUAUGAAUGAUCCACACCGGGCUUCAAAGAGAUAGUCCAGUUCAUCUACGAGUUCAUCCUACCAUGCUUUCCUACUUCCAACUUCCAAUGUAUUUUGUGACUGAGAUUGUGCACAUAAGCUAUUUGUGAGAAUGUCAGCAAACGAUGAUAUUAGAUUAUGCAAAGCUUUCCGGUGGUUGAAUGGCUCUCACAUGUUCUACUGCUGCAAAUUUGUGUCAUCAAGGUUACCCCCUUCAAAUUUAAAUAUACUUCUGAUUUUGCAUUUUAUGAUGAAUAACAGUGUGCCUGCAAUUAGUUUGUAAUCAUCCUUUUCCGUUGCCGAGGGGUGUUCUCCAUUGGCGAAACAACUGAUGCUUCAUUUUCGGAUUAAAGAUAGGUCAAACUGACUAAAAAAUACUUGAAGGUAGAGGAUACACAAUCUUUACUGCAUUUUUAUGGGUGUCUCCAUUGUUGCACACACUUUGAUACCUCCUACUAAUGGAAUGUAUUUCCAAGAAAAAUAUCUGUACCCUGGAAUAUAUGGAAGUGCCGAAACUCCAAGCUCUUCCAGGAUGUUUUUGAGGAAUUGCACAUUACUGCUAGCAAGAUUGCUGAUGAUCUUAUGUUGUAGUCCAACAUGUAUUCAAAUGAAAUUAACAAAGGCAUCCUUAGAGGUUGGAGCACUAUGUUGUAUCACCUAUCUGCACUGUGGCGUCGAUGAGACGCUUCGACCCAUGCUGGCCGUCAUUCCCCACCACUGAGAUGAAGAAGAAAUGGUUGGCUUACCAAUCACUUAAGCAUCGAGAGCUUCGGCGCCCAACUGUUGAAGAAGGCUCAGACUGAUGGAGUUGUCCCAAACAAGGCACAGACCUAACCCCUUUCCGCUGCUGGAGUCCUUGCAUGCCUUUAAGGGAUGUAAUCUUAUGUAACACCCACAAUGCGGUUAUAUCUUCCACGUGCCGUGACACGACUUAGAGGCAUAGCUGCAUGGUAGUUUAGUCAUAAGUGGAGUAAUUUUCACACAA